AAGAAUGUUUCAAAAAGUCGGGCUCAGUGAUCAAUUAAUUUAAACAACAGACCGCCAAAAUUUAACCUUGGCCUCCAUGUUGCAACGUCUGCUCUGUCUAAAGGAGGAAGUUUGUUGACCAGACAGCCUGAGAUCGUAUUGCUGUAUCAACCAAAAGAUGCAGAUACACGUAUUUCAUAUGCGCGUCUGUGCAUGAGGAGAUUUCUGAAAAAGAAUAAGUGCUUGUUCAACUUACUGCGAUUUUAACGGGCUUAAAGCUUGGUCCAUGGAUGGUUAUGUUUGAGGAUUUGCCAAUUCGACCGCAAGUGCUGCUGCAAGAAAUUAUUAAAACAUGCAGAGACCUUACAAAUUACAAAGAAGUCUGAAGAAAAUUUUUAUUGGACAGAUGGGUGUAAAGCACAGACCUGAGAUAUAAAUUGAAUUGUGAGAAAUAUGAAUCAGGGAUGCAGGUAGAAAAUGGCAAAUGUGAUCCAGAUUGAUAAAAAAUGUCUAAAAAUUUUUCUUGUUUUGUAAAUAUUCAAUGCUAUGUCAAUUGUUAUUUUUUCCCAAAUAUCUAAUAGUGUUGAACAUUUCACUCCCACUUUUGCUUAAAUAGAAUGAAUAAAUUUCCAUUUAUUUAAUAUGAAUAUUAAAAAAUGCCACAUUUUUUCCAUGAUGAACUUGUGGCUUAAAUAAGAGUUCCAGUUUUUUUUCCAUACAUGCUCCUAUUUGUUUGUCAAAGAUAUAAGAUCCAAUACAUUGCUCAUGAACAUAAUGUGUAAUUUUGUUCAUUCAUUUAUAUCUUUUUUUCUCAUAAUGAUAUAAUAAAUUGUAUAUAAUUUU